UACGUAGGUGGCGAGCGUUGUCCGGAAUUACUGGGCGUAAAGGGCGUGUAGGCGGCCUUUUAAGUCAGAUGUGAAAUCUCAGGGCUUAACCCUGAAACUGCAUUUGAAACUGGAGGGCUUGAGGAUCGGAGAGGGCAGUGGAAUUCCCAGUGUAGCGGUGAAAUGCGUAGAUAUUGGGAGGAACACCAGUGGCGAAGGCGACUGCCUGGACGACACCUGACGCUGAGGCGCGAAAGCUAGGGGAGCGAACGGGAUUAGAUACC
rnacentral:rRNA from 1 species